GGUCCGUUGGUGUAACGGCCAACACUACCUAUCCUGGCGUGUAUCCGUGUUGGACGCGGUGUCACGGUGGGGCGGAAGUUACCGGUUCGAAUCCGGUACGGGCCA